CUGUCUCCAAAAACCUAAAAAAAAAUGCUUCUUUCUUAUCCUGAAAAGCGUUCUUGGGUGUGGACUGGGUCAAAAUGGGACAAAGAAACUAACUUCCUCUUGAGGGAAACAUCAUCUGUCUCUGCACAUAUGCUAGAGUCUGGCUUUCUCCUCUAACCAAACACUGACAGUUUUUUUUCCUCAGGAAAUUAGCUUGAAAGGUGGAGCAGGAAUAUUGAGCCAAUUCAAUAUAACAGAUGAAUGGAUAAAGAAAAUAUAGCAUUUACACACAAUGGAGUACUACUCUGCCAUAAAAAGGGAUAAAUUUGAGCCAUUUGUAGGAAAAUGGAUACACUUUGAGACCAUAACCCAAGCUUAAAUAUCCUGUGGCUUCUCUUACAUGAUAAACCCACUGUCUAAAUAAAGCAAAAUAAAACAGAGACAAUAGGAAUACGGAAGAUAGAACUUUUGCAAAAAGGAAGGGAAGCAAUAAAUGGAGGGAGGGGGCAGGAGAGGAGGGACAGGAAGGGAUGAAAGAGAAUGAAGAUGUGUCAUGUACAUGGUCCAGCUCCACACAAUGAACGUAAUCGCUGUGUACUACACACACGUAAUAAUUUAAAGAAAUAUUUUAAAAUGAGUGUCUCUCAUUUACUACCCAGGAACUACUCCAAGGAGAUGCUGGGAAGUAGCCUGGGAAUGGCCAUCCCUCUCCCAUCAUUUCUCUUCCCUCAAUCCUGCUUCAGCUUCUGUCAGCCUGUGAAGGUCCUGCAGAGUGAGGUUAAGCCUUCCACAGUUCUGAGAUUACAAGCAUGCACCGCCAUGCCCAGCUGGAGCCCACCUUUGUGCACAUCCUUGCCACACACCCUGCUGCGCCUGAUGGUCUUCUGGGAUGUUUACAACGCCGAUCACUUUAUGAAUAUGAAUCCUCUGUCCUCAUCAAGACUGUGCCUGCCUAAAGAAGACAGUUUGGUGGAAGUAGCUUCCCAUACUUCCUGUGGGACCUGGGGUUACUUAGCGCUGUUGAGUCUGGCAAUAACCAGUGUUUGUACCAAUGUCCUCCACUGUGAGCGGGGGUCCCUAAACAAUACCCUCCAGAGUGAGAAUUAUACCCUAGACUUCUCUAUUCCUCACUGAACCCAGGAGGGGGUAAGUACCUCCAUGAACAUUUAUUGAGUUGAACUUUUCUCCAUACCUUUUUAUUGAGAUAUAAUUCACACGCCAUAAAACUUACAACUUGAAAGUGUACAAUUCCAUGGUUUUCAGUAUAUUCACAGGGUGCACAAUCAUCCCUACUGCACAAUCCCAAAAUAUUGUCCUCACCCCAUUCCUCAUACACUUUCUAAAGCUUUAUUUGGUUUUUAAUCACUCAAAAUACACCCUGACUACAUCUCACUAGAUGUAACAAUUCCAUUUCAUAGACACUAAUGGUACUUACUAUGUGUCAGGCACUGUUCUGUGUACUUCACAGGUCACAUACCCUAUGUGGUAGCCAGGUGUGGUGGUGCCUGCUCACAGUCCCAGCCUGUGACCAUGGUGAGACCCUGUCUCAGAUAAACAAUCAUACAUCAUCAUCGUCGUCAUAAUCAUCACCAUCAUCAUUACCAUCAUCAUCAUCACAUUACCAUGCAGAAACUGACACUGAAAAGACAGAAAAUCCUGCCAAGAUCAUAGCUAGAAGUGGCAAAGUUUGGAUUUGAACCCAAGACAUCCGAGUCUACAUUGUUCACCGCUCCCUGCUUUCAGUUGACUAAAGCAUUAAGAUCUAACAACCAAUCCACGGAAACAAACAAAACCCAGCAGCUCCUUUACCACGAGAGGGGCAGGUCAAUGGUGUGCCUGCCUCAGGCCUACGUUCAUGCCAGAGGCGUUGCUUGUUUCCACUGCUCCCAGUUCUCUUUGUGCCAUGUGGGCUGGUUUAGUGCCCCUGUCUAUGUGCCUGGGGCCAUGGCAAAUGUCCAGGCACAGGCACAUCUCUGAAUGUGUCAGGGAGUUCAGUGCUGGAGGGAAGCCAUUCUGGGAGUAAAGCAAUCCGUGGGCCUGGAUUCCCAUGCAUUCAGACUCAAGCCCCUCAGAAAACUCCACAGGACAGGUCCUGCUCCUCACCAUGGAAGGUGGUGCUGCUGACCACUGGGCCUUCCAUUCCCCCAAACUCCCUGCUUAAACUUCUCAGCAGGUCUGCGGCUGACCCUCGCCUCCCCACAGCUGUCUCCUACCUAGUCACCAGGACAGGACAUUGCUCUGGGAAUUCCAAUUUGCUAAGGACCUCAGUCCCAAACAAUAGGUCCCCUCUCACGAAUGCACCCGGUUGCAGCACUUCAAGAUAUGGCAAGCACUGCCCUGGAUUUCUUCUCCAAAGCUAGCAACCAUGCAGUAGUCACUUUCAGACUAAAUCUCCAUACUGGACUUGCAGCUGGCAAUAACUGUGGUUUCUCCUGUGGCCAGGGCUGCCAGUCCAUUGCUCAUCAGGCCCUCUCUGGGCUUACUUUGUGGUUUUGGAGUCAGUUUCACUCCUGAGGAGCCAGGCUUGGCGUGGCCUACUGUUUUGUGCAUUUCUCUGAGUUGCCUUUCUGUUUCUCUGUGCUUUAUAGCUUUCCUGUCACCUCUUUCCUGAUUCUUGGAGCUCUUGCUCUCUUCCUGUCCUUGCGGUAUAGUUUCCCUUUCUAACUCCUAGCUUUCCGCUCACAGCAUACAGGACAUUCUUCAUUGGCUAGAAAUGAUGUCUUUGACAAAUAGCGUGCAGAUUUGACUUUGGUAAUUCAAGACACUUUUGUUUGUUUGCUCGUUUUGUUGCUGUGUUGGGGAGGGAACUCAGGGCCUCUCACAUACCAGGGAAUUGCUCUGCCACUGAGCUACACACCCCAGCCCCAGGUUUUAGUUUUAAUGUACAGCACUAGGGAGCUUGCUAUGGAUGAAGCCCUGUACGACGUCUGUUAGUAAAGCAAGAAAGCCUUCAAAAUCAUAUAAUUACUUGCUACCCACCUCCCAAUUUCUAAUUACUACAUAUAAUAUAAUAUAAUAUAAUAUCAGAUGGCCUUGACUCAAGGCUUACCUGAACAUGGGCCACUUCAUUGUCUAUUCUUUGCAGCCUUUUGUAAAAGAAAUCGCACAUCCUAAGUUCGAAGCCUGGACCUGGCCAACAUCUCAGCAAGAUGAAAGCCUUGGCCCUUACAAAUGGCUUUUGUCUCAGCCUCGAAACCCUCAUGUGACACCCUGAGGUACUUGACAAACCUAGCUUCUCUUACUGGGAACCCCUGGGUUUACCUAAGGUUCGGACAAACCUCCAGGUUGGCCUAGGGGGGUUAUAAAAACAUUUUAAAUGUUGGUGUUUACUUUUUUCCUACUAAUUGUGUAAUUUAGGAGAAAUUCAUUUUAGAAAAUAAUGUAUUGUGGGUACACAUUUUAUUGAAGUAUGACAGGAUAUUUUUGGUGGACUAUUUUUUGGGAUGAUGGUUAAACAGCACAUUAGAGUAUUAUACUGAAGUUUGAGGGAAAAGCUGAGGCAAACCAAAAAAACAGAAAAAAGGCUAUUUUAGUUAAAUAAACUAGGAAGCAGCCCCCUCUUGUGCUGGAAAAAAAGUACUACAGCUAGUGAAUUAAAAAGCAGGAAAACAUCCCAGAGUGCAUGCAAAAAAUUUGCUUAAACUGAGAGCUUGUCCCAAAUAGCUUUAAAUCCAAGAAAAGCUUAGUGCUCAGUAACUAUUUUAAAUAACACUUCCACCACUCUUAACCUGUACUGAUUAAUUCUUCUCACAUUUAUUGAGCACUUACUGGGUGCCAGGAAUCAGGUGUAUCGGGGCAACCACAGUUGUUACCCCUGAAUCCCUCACAAGGUCUGGUUUUCUCAUAAUCUUGCCCCUGUUCCCAGUGACCUCUGCUUCCUCCACACUGUGACAGUGUCCAUCCUGAGCCUCUCCCCGCUGUCUUCCUGACCAUAGCCAGGUGUUUUCUCACUUCCCUUCUAAUUGUAAAGUAACCCUUUGAAGGCAGCAACCGUGUCUAAUCCACUCUUAGUUUUCCCACAGCCCCUAACUUUGUCCAGUUAGUGUUCAAGUGCAUAUUUGUUUGAUUUAAUUUAAUCUAACCAAAUCAAAAAGCAACAGAGCUCCACACCUAAUUAAAAACAGGUUCUCUACACAAACUGCAAACAUGUACAAAUAAAAUUUAAAAGUUUAAAAAAGUGAUUCUCAUGCAGAACUGUUAUUUUGCUGCUUGUCAAAAAUGGAGAUCAUAGUUAUUGCUCUGUUGUUGCCAAAAUGCAUGAUGAGUUUUUUUGGUCAGUUUUUGUGGUAUAAUCGUCAGUGGAAGGUAAGAUGUAUUUAAUGCUAGAAUCUGUGGUGUCAGAGAAAUUCUGCCUGUCCUGAAAGGAUCCUAGAGGUGUUGCCUUGGUUACCUGUCAGGCAUCUGAAUGGGAAUGUGCCCUGUCCACCCAGCUGCCCUCAAGAUGGUCAGGAUUCUAGUCAGUGAUUCCAGACUGUGG
rnacentral:lncRNA from 1 species